GUACACUCCUCCGGGAGGCAGCAGUGAGGAAUAUUGGACAAUGGGUGGAAGCCUGAUCCAGCCAUCCCGCGUGCAGGAAGACGGCCCUAUGGGUUGUAAACUGCUUUUAUCUGGGGAUAAACCUACUUACGUGUAAGUAGCUGAAGGUACCAGAAGAAUAAGCACCGGCUAACUCCGUGCCAGCAGCCGCGGUAAUACGGAGGGUGCAAGCGUUAUCCGGAUUUAUUGGGUUUAAAGGGUCCGUAGGCGGACUGAUAAGUCAGUGGUGAAAUCCGACAGCUUAACUGUCGAACUGCCAUUGAUACUGUUAGUCUUGAGUAAGGUUGAAGUGGCUGGAAUAAGUAGUGUAGCGGUGAAAUGCAUAGAUAUUACUUAGAACACCAAUUGCGAAGGCAGGUCACUAAGUCUUAACUGACGCUGAUGGACGAAAGCGUGGGGAGCGAACAGGAUUAGAAACCCGGGUAGUCCCAU
rnacentral:rRNA from 1 species